AGCGAACGCUGGCGGCAGGCUUAACACAUGCAAGUCGAGCGGACCUUUCGGGGUCAGCGGCGGACGGGUGAGUAACGCGUGGGAACGUGCCUUCCGGUUCGGAAUAACCCUGGGAAACUAGGGCUAAUACCGGAUACGCCCUUAUGGGGAAAGGUUUACUGCCGGAAGAUCGGCCCGCGUCUGAUUAGCUAGUUGGUGGGGUAACGGCCUACCAAGGCGACGAUCAGUAGCUGGUCUGAGAGGAUGAUCAGCCACACUGGGACUGAGACACGGCCCAGACUCCUACGGGAAGCAGCAGUGGGGAAUAUUGGACAAUGGGCGCAAGCCUGAUCCAGCCAUGCCGCGUGAGUGAAGAAGGCCUUAGGGUUGUAAAGCUCUUUUAUCCGGGACGAUAAUGACGGUACCGGAGGAAUAAGCCCCGGCUAACUUCGUG
rnacentral:rRNA from 1 species